rnacentral:rRNA from 1 species
GACGAACUCUGGCGGCGUGCUUAACACAUGCAAGUCGAACGGUAAGGCUCCAGCUUGCUGGGGUACACGAGUGGCGAACGGGUGAGUAACACGUGGGUGACCUGCCCUGCACUUCGGGAUAAGCCUGGGAAACUGGGUCUAAUACCGGAUAGGACCGCACCGUGAGGGUGUGGUGGAAAGUUUUUUCGGUGUGGGAUGGGCCCGCGGCCUAUCAGCUUGUUGGUGGGGUAAUGGCCUACCAAGGCGGCGACGGGUAGCCGGCCUGAGAGGGUGGACGGCCACAUUGGGACUGAGACACGGCCCAGACUCCUACGGGAGGCAGCAGUGGGGAAUAUUGCACAAUGGGCGGAAGCCUGAUGCAGCGACGCCGCGUGGGGGAUGACGGCCUUCGGGUUGUAAACUCCUUUCACCAUCGACGAAGGGUUUCUGACGGUAGAUGGAGAAGAAGCACCGGCUAACUACGUGCCAGCAGCCGCGGUAAUACGUAGGGUGCGAGCGUUGUCCGGAAUUACUGGGCGUAAAGAGCUCGUAGGUGGUUUGUCGCGUCGUCUGUGAGAUUCCGGGGCUUAACUCCGGGCGUGCAGGCGAUACGGGCAUAACUUGAGUACUGUAGGGGAGACUGGAAUUCCUGGUGUAGCGGUGAAAUGCGCAGAUAUCAGGAGGAACACCGGUGGCGAAGGCGGGUCUCUGGGCAGUAACUGACGCUGAGGAGCGAAAGCAUGGGGAGCGAACAGGAUUAGAUACCCUGGUAGUCCAUGCCGUAAACGGUGGGCGCUAGGUGUGGGUUUCCUUCCACGGGAUCCGUGCCGUAGCUAACGCAUUAAGCGCCCCGCCUGGGGAGUACGGCCGCAAGGCUAAAACUCAAAGGAAUUGACGGGGGCCCGCACAAGCGGCGGAGCAUGUGGAUUAAUUCGAUGCAACGCGAAGAACCUUACCUGGGCUUGACAUAUACAGGAUCGCGCCAGAGAUGGUGUUUCCCUUGUGGCUUGUAUACAGGUGGUGCAUGGUUGUCGUCAGCUCGUGUCGUGAGAUGUUGGGUUAAGUCCCGCAACGAGCGCAACCCUUGUCUUAUGUUGCCAGCACGUUGUGGUGGGGACUCGUAAGAAACUGCCGGGGUUAACUCGGAGGAAGGUGGGGAUGACGUCAAAUCAUCAUGCCCCUUAUGUCCAGGGCUUCACACAUGCUACAAUGGUCGGUACAGUGGGUUGCCAGUCCGUGAGGGCGAGCUAAUCCCGCAAAGCCGGUCUCAGUUCGGAUCGGGGUCUGCAACUCGACCCCGUGAAGUCGGAGUCGCUAGUAAUCGCAGAUCAGCAACGCUGCGGUGAAUACGUUCCCGGGCCU